UCUCUUCCGCCUUCCGCCGCCAGGGUGUAAAACAAAUCCCCCUCCUCUCCCCAAGAUUUCCCCUCCACCCGCCGCCCACCGCACGGCCCCUGCUCCUGUACGCCUGGUCACGCUCCGGCUCAAUCCGCCCCAUCGCCCGACCCCUGUUACUCCCCGCCCGGCCAAGCUCCGGCCCGAUCUGCCGCACCGCACGGCCCCUGCUCCCCCCGCCCGGCCAUGCUCUGACCUAAAUCCGCCCCAACAGACUCACUCUUCAUCCCCAACCAUGGCGGCGUGCGUCGAUCCAUGGCUGCGACGGGCGGGGUGUCCAUGGCCACGCCAGCCGGUGUGAUGGAGUUGCACCACAAGCGGCGAGAACACGGCGCUGCCGGUGGACUGUAGUGACCGCCGGAGAACACUGAGGGUGAGUACUCGGGGAUCGAGCACGAGGUCAUCCCGGGUCGUAGAGAGCCUUAAGGUUAUUCAAUUCAGCUGGCAGCCUGGCAUGUCACUUAAAGCAGAAACAGAUGGCAUUCCAUCUCCCAGCCAAACUUAUUGCAGCUUGUAAUCUGAGGAGUUACAUAUGAGAUUUCCUCUGCUACACAAUGCUAGGAUCUGAAACCAGCUAAUGUGAGGGCACAUACAUCGAUGCGAGCUUAGAUUUUAUGGCUCGGUACGAAAACACGGUCUAAUUAGAUUAUUUUGAUAUUUCACUCUUUGAUAAAGUCAACUGUACUCCUAUCGUUCAUACAAAAUACAUGGAUUGGCUAUCAGUUAUGUGCAUAAUAACAAUACAUUGUCUAUUGUUGUUUCAUAUUACUGAUCACUUACGCUUGGCUCUAGACACCUAGAGUCCCACUGUUGCACUUCAUAUUGACAGAUUAAGCCACUAAAAUAAUUUGUGUUUACGGUGAGCAAUACAAGAGUUGAGUUCCUUGAUAUAACAUCACAUUUUUGUUAGAGUUGAGUUAUGUGCAAGAGUAGAAGAUGCUAACCUAUAAUGGAUAGAAUAUUGUAAUGUUUUCCUACGGCCUUUUUUUGCAUUUUCUCAUCAACGUGAUCUAGAUAAAUAUAAAAAGGAAAGCAGUUUAUGUGAGUACAUUAGUUAUGGGUUAUAAAUAUGUCAAACCACCCGUAUAAUCGCAUUGUACUUGUAAUUGUUCGAUUUCUACCAGAUGUUUAUAUACUUCAUUGUACUUUUCUUAUGAUGGACCGUCGCGGCAACACGCGCCUUUAUGGUCUAGGGUAUAGGUAAGAGAGGAGGCUGAUGCAAAUGAGAUAAAACUUUUGCGGCGUUACAUGGAAAGGACAGGAGGCUGCUGCAAGGACCAUAAUGUGACUGUGAUGCUUCUUCCAAGCUUUGACUCCGGAGCCUAGCACCGGUGCUGCAGGGAUGUUCGAUUUCUUUUCAUGGCAUCUAUAACUUCCUCACUCAAUUUGUCACACCUCUCGGGAAGCCAAUCUCUUGGGCAGGGCUUGACACUUGAAGACCAUCUUCUACAGUGUGUGUACAGAUAACAUGUUACAGUUCUUUUGUAGUGGCAGAAACUUCACCUUACCGGCAGUGCUGGUUGUAGCAAAUUAGCAAUAGCUUAUUUUUUGAAUUCUGGCCCUAAACUGACCACGAAUCUUGUUUAUGUGUUCAUUGAUAAUAUGAUGAAUUUUGGCUGCAA